rnacentral:rRNA from 1 species
CAGCCGCCACGGUAAUACGUAGGGUGCGAGCGUUAAUCGGAAUUACUGGGCGUAAAGUGUGCGCAGGCGGUUGUGUAAGACAGGUGUGAAAUCCCCGGGCUUAACCUGGGAACUGCGCUUGUGACUGCACAGCUAGAGUAUGGCAGAGGGGGGUGGAAUUCCACGUGUAGCAGUGAAAUGCGUAGAGAUGUGGAGGAACACCGAUGGCGAAGGCAGCCCCCUGGGCCAAUACUGACGCUCAUGCACGAAAGCGUGGGGAGCAAACAGGAUUAGAUACCCCCGUAGUCCCUGUCUCUUAUAU